CUUCCCCCAAAAUAUAGAUGUGAAGAUUCAUACCUCAUCUCUCAUGCACUACACGAUUAGAUACAUUUUGGACAAAACAGCCUCUUGGUCUUCUUUCUACAGAGGCGGAAAUGCAGUUCCUCUGCCUGAAGAGCUAGCGGCUGCGUCAGCGCACAGAGUGGCUGAAAUGCAAAUCACCUCUGUUCCAAGUGCACACAAGUGCACCUCUGUUCCAGUGCACUAAAAAGAUAACUGUUAUCACAGAACAAUGCCGCUGUCAAUGACCAAGUUUUCGAGGAAGCUCUGUGCACAAGCCUGACGUUCCUCAUGUGUCUCUGUCAGCCUUACAAAACACCCCAUCAGACUUUCUACGGAGGCAGAGAAACCAGGCUGACAAUGGAAUGAAGACCCUGGGCUUCGUCUGUUGCCAGAUUUUGAGGAACAGGGAGGUGCAGUGACUUCUCUGAUCGGCACAUUGCAGAAGAAUGCUUGGGCAUGUUCUGCUCAGCCCCGUCCUCCUUCUUCCUCUUGGGAUUGAAAAUGUCUGCCACAGGGAAAUCUGCUUCUCUGUGAAGCAGUCCACGUGCCUGGGGCUGUCUGGAGGAGUCUGCCUAAUGGGGGAGGGGAGGCGGGUAUAGUUGGCAGGCUCGUUGGCUCUCAUACUAAGCUGUAUUCUCCAAUUUAGCCUUUAUCGAUAAUAAAGGUGAUGUUUUGGCCAUGUUUGCACCCUUGCUUUAUUUCACAGUUUUCCCAGAGCCCAUGUAGGGAAGAGGGAUGCUAUGCAUUGGGUGCCACACCAGGCAGAUGACAGCCAGACCAUGGAGGGCUUGGAAUGCUCUGCCUUGAGUUUGGAAUCCCAGGAGGAGAGGGCCUGCAGAGGGAAGCAAUAAAUGCAGCCUUUGUAGGAAAAGUAUGGAUUUGGGUGUCAGAAGGACUGGGAGCCAGCCCCAAGCUCUGCCACUAACCAUCUGGGUAACUUUAGGCACGUUGCUUAAACUUCCCAGGCUUCAAUUUCCUCAUCUGUAGAAUGAGUUGGUUUAUAAAAUCUCUA